rnacentral:lncRNA from 1 species
AUUAGCUCUUUUGACUGUGUUAGAUAUGUCUCGAAUUCUAGAAUCAUAAGAUUUUCUAACUCUAUUCUGUUUUGAUUAUCCCAUUAAGUUAAAUUUAUAUUAUGCAUAAUCUAAUUAAGGUAUUCAUAUUCCUAAGGUAUUCAUAUUCUUAAUGAAUUUGUAUUUCUAAUCGUAUUAGAAUUUAAUUAGUCGCUAUUAUAAAUAUACCAUUUAUGAUUUGGUGCAGUAGAUUAGGCAGAUGAGAAAGAGUAUGGGUGUAUUUUUGGAAUUAGAGUUUUCUGAAAGAGUCAUAUUUUGUACACCAUCCUGAUUAUAAUGAAGAUUUCCGCUUCGCUCUAUCUUCACUCGUUGACGUAUGUUUGUGGCCGAGCCAUGUAAAUAUUGCGUGGUUUAUCUUUUUUUUCUCUCGUUCUCGAUUCUUUUUUGGUACUUUCGCACUCGACGAACUAGAUUUUUUUUGUUUCAAUUCUAACAUAACGUCACAAGCUCCAUCCACUUUGUAAUCUAACUAAAUCUCGAAUUAAAGCCGUCCAGAUCAGCACAGUCGCUAUAGUCGUGAAUAGUUAAAUAUGUUGGAUUGUUGACGCUAAUCAGUAAUUCCAAAAACUCGAACUAUUAGAAAUAUGCAAUAAACUCACUUAAAUCGUACAGACACAACACCCACGAGUCUCAAUAAUUAUUAUUUAUUCUAUAAGAAUCGAAUUUUAAUUUUCACUCCACUCUAGAAUAAAAAUGAUCCAAUCUAUUUAUGACUCAAUCUAGCUGCUUUGAGUUACGAAUUAAUUAAUCUAUUUCAAAAUAAACCUCUCAAAGCUUCAUUUCACAGACACCUUUUUCUCCCGUCCCUUCGUCACUCUCCUCUCUUUCAAAAUACUAAAUGUUCAUUUCCAUUUUGCAUUUCAGUAAUAAUCCAAAUAUUUUUAAACUAUUCGUCAUUCUAUAUUUUAUUCCAAUAUAAUAUUAUUUUAUUUUUUAUUUUUUAUUUUAAUUAUGAACCAAACACGUCCUUAUCAUAAGUAUCUUUCUGAGUAGCGCUUGGCCACAAAGAG